rnacentral:tRNA from 1 species
CCUGGUAGCUCAGCUGGUAGAGAAUCUGCCUGCAAUGCAGGAGACCCUGGUUCAAUUCCUGGAUCAGGA